GCACAGCUGACAAGUUCCAAACAGGACGAAACAACUGUCCAGUGC
rnacentral:hammerhead_ribozyme from 1 species